UGUAAUUUACUUGAUCUUGACACAAUCCUACUUGGAUAACUGUGGUAAUUCUAGAGCUAAUACAUGCAUUAAAGCUCUGACCUCACGGGAAGAGUGCAUUUAUUAGAACAAAACCAAGCGGCUUCGGCUGUUUCUGGUUGACUCAUAGUAACUGAGCUGAUCGCAUGGUCUUGCACCGGCGACGUGUCUUUCAAGUAUCUGCCGUAUCAACUUUCGAUGGUAGUGUAUCUGACUACCAUGGUGAUCACGCGUAACGGAGAAUAAGGGUUCGGCUCCGGAGAGUUCGCCUGAGAAAUCGCGAACACAUCUAAGGAAGGCAGCAGGCGCGAAAAUUACCCACUCUCAGCACGAGGAGGUAGUGACGAAAAAUAACGAGACCGUUCUCUUAUGAGGCCGGUCAUCGGAAUGGGUACAAUUUAAACCCUUUAACGAGUAUCUAUGAGAGGGCAAGUCUGGUGCCAGCAGCCGCGGUAAUUCCAGCUCUCAAAGUGCAUAGAAUUAUUGCUGCGGUUAAAAAGCUCGUAGUUGGAUCUGUGCCAUAGGACGUGGUCCACCUUCGGGUGCGUACUACGCUCCUAGGCUUUUUGCUGGUUUUCCCGUCGUAGCCUUCACUGGUUGCGGCGGGUGGCUGGCGAGUUUACUUUGAGAAAAUCAGAGUGCUCAAUACAGGCGUAUCGCUUGAAUGAUUGUGCAUGGAAUAAUAGAAAAGGAUUUCGGUCCUCUUUUAUUGGUUUUGUGGACUGAGAUAAUGGUUAACAGGGACAAACGGGGGCAUUCGUAUCUCUGCGUGAGAGGUGAAAUUCUUGGACCGUAGAGAGACGCCCUACUGCGAAAGCAUUUGCCAAGAAUGUCUUCAUUAAUCAAGAACGAAAGUCAGAGGUUCGAA
rnacentral:rRNA from 1 species